rnacentral:snoRNA from 1 species
UGGGCCCAGAAUCAAGGCCAGCAGUUUGCUGAAGCUGUUGGUUUCAAGCAGGAGCCUAAAGAAGGUCUUUCUGUGGUCUGUUGGCCAUUUCAGAACUAUGGAAUCUAAUGGUCAGUCGUUAGAAAGAAACUUCU